rnacentral:rRNA from 1 species
CCUACGGGAGGCAGCAGUAAGGAAUAUUGGUCAAUGGAGGCAACUCUGAACCAGCCAUGCCGCGUGCAGGAAGACUGCCCUAUGGGUUGUAAACUGCUUUUAUCCGGGAAUAAACCUACUUACGUGUAAGUAGCUGAAUGUACCGGAAGAAUAAGGAUCGGCUAACUCCGUGCCAGCAGCCGCGGUAAUACGGAGGAUCCAAGCGUUAUCCGGAUUUAUUGGGUUUAAAGGGUGCGUAGGCGGCCUGUUAAGUCAGGGGUGAAAGACGGUAGCUCAACUAUCGCAGUGCCCUUGAUACUGAUGGGCUUGAAUGGACUAGAGGUAGGCGGAAUGAGACAAGUAGCGGUGAAAUGCAUAGAUAUGUCUCAGAACACCGAUUGCGAAGGCAGCUUACUAUGGUCUUAUUGACGCUGAGGCACGAAAGCGUGGGGAUCAAACAGGAUUAGAUACCCUGGUAGUCCACGCCCUAAACGAUGAACACUCGCUGUUGGCGAUACACAGUCAGCGGCUAAGCGAAAGCGUUAAGUGUUCCGCCGUGGGUAGUACCGCCGCGAAGGGUUAGUUAAACGUUAAAGUUAGUUAGUUGGCGNGAGAGNGCGACGGACGACGACGACGGAGGAGGAGG